AGUGAACGCUGGCGGUAUGCCUAACACAUGCAAGUCGAACGGCAGCACAGUAAGAGCUUGCUCUUACGGGCGUCGAGUGUCGGACGGUUGAGGAAUACAUCGGAUUCUACUUUUUCGUGGGUGAUAACGUCGGGAAACUUACUCUAAUACCGCAUACGACCUACGUGUGAAAGCAGGCGAUCUUCUGACCUUGCGCGAUUGAAUAAGCCGAUGUCGGAUUAGCUAGUUGGCGGGGUAAAGGCCCACCAAGGCGACGAUCCGAAACUGGUCUGACAGGAUGGUCAGCCAGAUUGGAAGUGAGACACGGCACAGACUCCUACGGGAGGAAGCAGUGGGGAAUAUUGGACAAUGGGCGAAAGCCUGAUCCAGCAAUACCGCGUGGGUGAAGAAGGACUUAGGGUUGUAGAGCCCUUUUGUUGGGAAAGAAAAGCAGCAGGUUAAUACCCCGCUGUUCUGACGGUACCCAAAGAAUAAGCACCGGCUAACUUCGUG
rnacentral:rRNA from 1 species